rnacentral:rRNA from 1 species
UACGGGGGGGGCAAGCGUUGUUCGGAAUUACUGGGCGUAAAGGGCUCGUAGGCGGCCAACUAAGUCAGACGUGAAAUCCCCAGGCUCAACCUGGGAACUGCGUCUGAUACUGGAUGGCUUGAAUCCGGGAGAGGGAUGCAGAAUUCCAGGUGUAGCGGUGAAAUGCGUAGAUAUCAAGAGGAACACCUGCGGCGAAGGCGGGUUGCUGGGCCGACACUGACGCUGAGGCGCGAAAGCCAGGGGAGCGAACGGG